rnacentral:ncRNA from 1 species
AAGGUUUUAUUUUAGCUUAAAAUUUUAGUUUAUUUUUAUUUUAUAUGUAAUAUUUAUUUUAAAUAAAAAUUUGCAGUUUAUAGUAUUAGAAAAUUAUUUAAGUAAGUUCUAGUAAUUUAUUAAAGAUUUAAUUAAAUUUGUGCCAGCAAUUGCGGUUAUACAAAUAAUUCAAUUGAAAUUUAUUGGUUAAUAAUUAAUUAAUUUAUUAAAAAUUUAUUAUUAAAAUUUUUAAGUGAAAUUAAAAUUUUAAUAUAAUUUUUUUAUUUUUAUAUGAGGUUAUUAAAAUUAGUAUUAAACUAGGAUUAGAUACCCUAUUAUUUUAAUAGUAAAAUUAAAUACCAAAUUAGUAUUAGUUAUGUUCUUAAAAUUUAAAAAAUUUGGCGGUAUUUUAGUCUAUUCAGAGGAACCUGUCCCGUAAUUGAUAGCCCACGAUUAGAAUUACUUUCUUUUUAUAUUUGUAUAUCGUUGUUUUUGAAUAUUUUAUAAGAAUUUAAAUUUUCAAUAAGUAUAUAAUAGUAUAUUUCAGAUCAAGGUGCAGUUUAUAAGUAAGAGGAGAUGGGUUACAUUAAAUUUAUUUUUGGUUUAUUAUUUUAAAUAGUUUUAUUAAUUUGGAUUUGAUAGUAAUAUUUUAUAUAUUUUAAAUGUGAUUUUAGCUCUAAAAUGUGUACAUAUUGCCCGUCGCUCUCUUAUUUAGAGAUAAGUCGUAACAAAGUAGAUUUACUGGAAAGUGAAUCUAGAAUGAAC